rnacentral:rRNA from 1 species
AUUGAACGCUGGCGGCAUGCCUUACACAUGCAAGUCGAACGGCAGCACGGGAGCAAUCCUGGUGGCGAGUGGCGAACGGGUGAGUAAUAUAUCGGAACGUGCCCAGUCGUGGGGGAUAACGUAGCGAAAGCUACGCUAAUACCGCAUACGAUCUAUGGAUGAAAGCGGGGGAUCGAAAGACCUCGCGCGAUUGGAGCGGCCGAUAUCAGAUUAGCUAGUUGGUGGGGUAAAGGCCCACCAAGGCGACGAUCUGUAGCUGGUCUGAGAGGACGACCAGCCACACUGGGACUGAGACACGGCCCAGACUCCUACGGAGGCAGCAGUGGGGAAUUUUGGGACAAUGGGCGCAAGCCUGAUCCAGCAAUGCCGCGUGCAGGACGAAGGCCUUCGGGUU